rnacentral:tRNA from 1 species
GUCACGGUGGUCUAGCGGUUAGAACGCUGGCCUUGUAAUCCUGGGGUCUCGGGUUCGAUUCCCGGAGGUGCCC